AUUGAACGCUGGCGGCAGGCCUAACACAUGCAAGUCGAACGAGUGGCGGACGGGUGAGUAAUGUCUGGGAAACUGCCUGAUGGAGGGGGAUAACGACUGGAAACGGUAGCUAAUACCGCAUACCAGCGGAUGUGCCCAGAUGGGAUUAGCUAGUAGGUGGGGUAAAGGCUCACCUAGGCGACGAUCCCUAGCUGGUCUGAGAGGAUGACCAGCCAACCGUGAACGGAGACAGAGUCCAGACUCCUACGGGAGGCAGCAGUGGGGAAUAUUGGACAAUGGGCGCAAGCCUGAUGCAGCCAUGCCGCGUGUAUGAAGAAGGCCUUCGGGUUGUAAAAUACUUUCAGCGGGGAGGCGUUACCCGCAGAAGAAGCACCGGCUAACUCCGUGCCAGCCGCCGCGGUAAUAC
rnacentral:rRNA from 1 species